rnacentral:rRNA from 1 species
UCCUCCCAAAGAGUAACGGAGGAGCACGAAGGUGGGCUAAUCACGGUUGGACAUCGUGAGGUUAGUGCAAUGGCAUAAGCCCGCUUAACUGCGAGAAUGACGGUUCGAGCAGGUGCGAAAGCAGGUCAUAGUGAUCCGGUGGUUCUGAAUGGAAGGGCCAUCGCUCAACGGAUAAAAGGUACUCCGGGGAUAACAGGCUGAUACCGCCCAAGAGUUCAUAUCGACGGCGGUGUUUGGCACCUCGAUGUCGGCUCAUCACAUCCUGGGGCUGAAGUCGGUCCCAAGGGUAUGGCUGUUCGCCAUUUAAAGUGGUACGCGAGCUGGGUUUAGAACGUCGUGAGACAGUUCGGUCCCUAUCUGCCGUGGGCGUUGGAAGAUUGAAGGGGGCUGCUCCUAGUACGAGAGGACCGGAGUGGACGAACCUCUGGUGUUCGGGUUGUGUCGCCAGACGCAUUGCCCGGUAGCUAAGUUCGGAAUCGAUAACCGCUGAAAGCAUCUAAGCGGGAAGCGAGCCCUGAGAUGAGUCUU